rnacentral:rRNA from 1 species
GUGGGGAAUCUUGCGCAAUGGGCGAAAGCCUGACGCAGCCAUGCCGCGUGAAUGAUGAAGGUCUUAGGAUUGUAAAAUUCUUUCACCGGGGACGAUAAUGACGGUACCCGGAGAAGAAGCCCCGGCUAACUUCGUGCCAGCAGCCGCGGUAAUACGAAGGGGGCUAGCGUUGCUCGGAAUUACUGGGCGUAAAGGGCGCGUAGGCGGACAGUUUAGUCAGAGGUGAAAGCCCAGGGCUCAACCUUGGAAUUGCCUUUGAUACUGACUGUCUUGAGUACGGGAGAGGUCAGUGGAACUCCGAGUGUAGAGGUGAAAUUCGUAGAUAUUCGGAAGAACACCAGUGGCGAAGGCGACUCACUGGCCCGUUACUGACGCUGAGGCGCGAAAGCGUGGGGAGCAAACAGGAUUAGAAACCCCGGUAGUCC